UGGUAAGGUUUUUUUGAUACAAAAGACUGGAAUUGAUUUCAUAUUUAUAAUAAAUAUCCAUUAAACUAGUAUUGCAUCUUUGCCAAUCCUUUACGGUCCCCUCUCGAACACGGAGAGCAGCUUGUACUUCUUUGACAUCAGCCCAAAUAUACGAGAGCACGUAGUUGUCAGCCCGACACCAUGGUUCUGAAAAUUGCUUAGUUGAAACUGGGACAUCAAUGAAAUUCUUUUCCAGAAGAGAGCUUGCAAUUUUCCAUGUUGAUAUGUUUUGUUGU
rnacentral:misc_RNA from 1 species